UACGUAGGGGGCAAGCGUUGUCCGGAUUUAUUGGGCGUAAAGAGCGUGUAGGCGGCCAUGUAGGUCCGUUGUGAAAACUCGAGGCUCAACCUCGAGACGCCGGUGGAAACCAUCUAGCUAGAGUCCGGAAGAGGAGAGUGGAAUUCCUGGUGUAGCGGUGAAAUGCGCAGAUAUCAGGAAGAACACCCGUGGCGAAGGCGGCUCUCUGGGACGUGACUGACGCUGAGACGCGAAAGCGUGGGGAGCGAACAGG
rnacentral:rRNA from 1 species